rnacentral:rRNA from 1 species
UGGGGAAUAUUGGACAAUGGGCGCAAGCCUGAUCCAGCCAUGCCGCGUGAGUGAUGACGGCCUUAGGGUUGUAAAGCUCUUUCGCACGCGACGAUAAUGACGGUAGCGUGAGAAGAAGCCCCGGCUAACUUCGUGCCAGCAGCCGCGGUAAUACGAAGGGGGCUAGCGUUGUUCGGAAUCACUGGGCGUAAAGGGCGCGUAGGCGGCUUUGUAAGUCGGGGGUGAAAGCCUGUGGCUCAACCACAGAAUUGCCUUCGAUACUGCAUGGCUUGAGACCGGAAGAGGCAAGUGGAACUGCGAGUGUAGAGGUGAAAUUCGUAGAUAUUCGCAAGAACACCAGUGGCGAAGGCGGCUUACUGGUCCGGUUCUGACGCUGAGGCGCGAAAGCGUGGGGAGCAAACAGGAUUAGAUACCCUGGUAGUCCACGCCGUAAAACGAUGAAUGCCAGCCGUUGGACAGCUUGCUGUUCAGUGGCGCAGCUAACGCUUUAAGCAUUCCGCCUGGGGAGUACGGUCGCAAGAUUAAAAACUCAAAGGAAUUGAC